CAGCCGUAAACUAUGCUCGCUAGGUGUCAGGCAUGGCGCGACCGUGUCUGGUGCCGCAGGGAAGCCGUGAAGCGAGCCACCUGGGAAGUACGGCCGCAAGGCUGAACUUAAGGAAUUGGCGGGGGAGCACAACAACGGGUGGAGCCUGCGGUUUAAUUGGACUCAACGCCGGGAAGCUCACCGGAUAAGACAGCGGAAUGAUUGCCGGGCUGAAGACUCUGCAUGACUAGCUGAGAGGAGGUGCAUGGCGUAGAC
rnacentral:rRNA from 1 species